CAGUAGCCGCGGUAAUACGUAGGUGGCAAGCGUUGUCCGGAAUUAUUGGGCGUAAAGGGCUCGCAGGCGGUUUCUUAAGUCUGAUGUGAAAGCCCCCGGCUCAACCGGGGAGGGUCAUUGGAAACUGGGAAACUUGAGUGUAGAAGAGGAGAGUGGAAUUCCACGUGUAGCGGUGAAAUGCGUGGAGAUGUGGAGGAACACCAGUGGCGAAGGCGACUCUCUGGUCUGUAACUGACGCUGAGGAGCGAAAGCGUGGGGAGCGAACAGGAUUAGAUACCCCUGUAGUCCCUGUCUCUUAUAC
rnacentral:rRNA from 1 species